GCCCUGGUUGUGUAAUGGUUUAACACACCCCAGUUACAUUCUGAAGCUUCCGUGAACCAUUCUAGGGGAACUCCUGGUUCGACUCCAGGCCGGGGCG